CAGCCGUAAACUAUGCUCGCUAGGUGUCAGGCAUGGCGCGACCGUGUCUGGUGCCGCAGGGAAGCCGUGAAGCGAGCCACCUGGGAAGUACGGCCGCAAGGCUGAAACUUAAAGGAAUUGGCGGGGGAGCACAACAACGGGUGGAGCCUGCGGUUUAAUUGGACUCAACGCCGGACAACUCACCGGGAACGACAGCAAUAUGUAGGCCAGGCUGAAGACCUUGCAUGACUAGCUGAGAGGGGGUGCAUGGCGUAG
rnacentral:rRNA from 1 species